GAGGGUAUAGCUCAAGUGGUAGAGCACACGCUUAGCAUGCAUGAGGUCCUGGGUUCAAUCCCCAGUGCCUCCU
rnacentral:tRNA from 1 species